CCUGUCUUUGGGUGUUUGUGUGGAUGCCAUGCAAAAACCUCUCAACGAAGACCUACAAGUCAGGGGUCAUAUUCAAAACUAUCUACAGAAGAGAUUUUAACUAAAUCCAGAGAUGCAAUUGGACCCAAUGUGUUGUGUGUCCACUAACUAAUGCCACCAUCUCCUUCCCUCCAAGUAUAUAUGUCCCAGAGCUUUAUUAGAAUCUACAAAACAUGUACCUCUGCAUGUCUACUGGCUUUCCUCCUUCAUUUGUGCUCUUCUGAAUGCCUUGGAGGACUAAAGGGUGGCAAAUUGUGGUACUUGCACUGUGGAAUGACUGAGCUGGGAAGAGUACUAAAGCCUCUGGCAGGUAUAUUGCAUUUCCAGUGAUUUCUGCGAGCAUAUUCAUGUGCUUGUACUUAAGUAAAAGCUUUACCACUUCCCCUGAUCUGAAACGAUCUUCCCUCCUCCUCUCCUCCUCCUAAAGCCCAAAUCAAAAAUGCUUACCCCAGAUUGUUUGCUGAAUCUAGACUGAUAAAAAAAAAAAAAAAAAAAAUUAAAAAAAGGGCAUGAAUGAACAUGUGAAGCAGGCUGUGGAGUAUUAGCGGAGCUUGUCUUUGUGGGCCUGAAAAGCCCAUGAUAAUGAGCUCCUCCACUGGGAGCGGAGAGGAGCACACAUGCAAAGGAGGGUCUUGGGCUUCGUGUUUCAUUAAAGGAAGGUUUCAGCCUUU
rnacentral:lncRNA from 1 species